rnacentral:rRNA from 1 species
AUUGAACGCUGGCGGCAGGCUUAACACAUGCAAGUCGAGCGAGCGGCGGACGGGUGAGUAAUGUAUGGGAAACUGCCUGAUGGCGGGGGAUAACUACUGGAAACGGUAGCUAAUACCGCAUACCAUCAGAUGUACCCAUAUGGGAUUAGCUAGUAGGUGGGGUAAUGGCUCACCUAGGCGACGAUCCCUAGCUGGUCUGAGAGGAUGAACAGCCACACUGGAACGGAGACACGGGCCAGACUCCUACGGGAGGCAGCAGUGGGGAAUAUUGCACAAUGGGCGCAAGCCUGAUGCAGCCAUGCCGCGUGUAUGAAGAAGGCCUUCGGGUUGUAAAGCACUUUCAGCGAGGAGGCGUUACCCGCAGAAGAAGCACCGGCUAACUCCGUGCCAGCCGCCGCGGUAAUAC